rnacentral:rRNA from 1 species
GACGAACGCUGGCGGCGUGCUUAACACAUGCAAGUCGAGCGGUAAGGCUCCUUCGGGAGUACACGAGCGGCGAACGGGUGAGUAACACGUGAGCAAUCUGCCCUUCACUCUGGGAUAACCCUCGGAAACGAGAGCUAAUACCGGAUACGAUCACUUCAGGCAUCUGAUGGUGAUGGAACGUUCCGGCGGGGAAGGAUGAGCUCGCGGCCUAUCAGCUUGUUGGGGAGGUAAUGGCUCACCCAGGCUUCGACGGGGAGCCGGGCUGGGAGGCGAGCCGGCGACACUGGGAAUGGGACACGGCGCAGAAUGCUGCGGGAGGCAGCAGUGGGGAAUAUUGGACAAUGGGCGAGAGCCUGAUCCAGCAACGCCGCGUGAGGGAUGACGGGCUUCGGGUUGUAAACCUCGUUCAGCACAGACGAAGCGCAAGUGACGGUAUGUGCAGAAGAAGGACCGGCCAACUACGUGCCAGCAGCCGCAGUAAAAC